rnacentral:rRNA from 1 species
UACGUAGGUGACGAGCGUUGUCCGGAUUUACUGGGCGUAAAGAGCGCGCAGGCGGUCGUUGAAGUCGGGUUUGAAAGCCCCCGGCUCAACUGGGGAGGGUCACUCGAUACUGAUCGACUCGAAGGCAGGAGAGGGUAGUGGAAUUCCCGGUGUAGUGGUGAAAUGCGUAGAUAUCGGGAGGAACACCAGUGGCGAAGGCGACUACCUGGCCUGUUCUUGACGCUGAGGCGCGAAAGCUAGGGGAGCAAACGGG